rnacentral:rRNA from 1 species
AUUGAACGCUGGCGGCAGGCCUAACACAUGCAAGUCGAGAGGAGCGGCGGACGGAAGAGUAAUGCCUAGGCAUCUGCCAGGUAGUGGGGGAUAACGUCCGGACAAGGGCGCUAAUAACGCAUACUAUCAGUUGCGCAGUGGUCGGAUUCGCUCGUUGGUGGGGUAAAGGCCGACCAAGGCGACCAUCAGUAACUGGUCUGAGAGGAUGAUCAGUCACACUGGAACUGAGAAACGGUCCAGCGUCCUACGGGAGGCAGCAGUGGGGAAUAUUGGACAAUGGGCGAAAGCCUGAUCCAGCCAUGCCGCGUGUGUGAAGAAGGUCUUCGGAUUGUAAAGCACUGUAAGUUGGGAGGCGUUACCAACAGAAUAAGCACCGGCUAACUGCGUGCCAGCAGCCGCGGUAAUUC